UACGUAGGGAGCAAGCGUUGUCCGGAAUCAUUGGGCGUAAAGCGCACGUAGGCGGCCCUGUAAGUCCGCUGUGAAAGUCAAAGGCUCAACCUUUGAAAGCCGGUGGAUACUGCAGGGCUAGAGUCCGGAAGAGGCGAGCGGAAUUCCUGGUGUAGCGGUGGAAUGCGCAGAUAUCAGGAGGAACACCAAUAGCGAAGGCAGCUCGCUGGGACAGUACUGACGCUAAGGUGCGAAAGCGUGGGGAGCGAACAGG
rnacentral:rRNA from 1 species